GCGGGGCGUGGGAAGGUGGGAACUGGCCGGCUUGCGGUGCCUGGCGGGCACCGAGGCGAACCGAACCGAACCGAACCGAGGCAACGUCAGCGCCGGCACAGUGCCCGCUCCCGUGGCCUCCAUGGCAAGUUGCAGCCAGAAAAGGAUAAUACAAAUAACUGGAUUUAGAAAAAAAGAGAAGAAGGCACUGCUCAAAUGCCUGUCCAAGCUGGACUGUGUUUUUGUAGAGAGUAAGAAAUACAGAAAUUGUACACAUCUUAUAGCAAAAAAGCUGUGCAAGAGUGAAAAGGUCUUAGCUGCCUGCGCUGCUGGAAAGUGGGUACUAACUAAGGAGUACAUAAUUAAUAGUGCUGAAAGUGGCAGAUGGCUGGAUGAAACAACGUACGAAUGGGGAUAUGAAAUUGAAAGAGACACCCAUUAUUCACCUCAAAUGCAAUCUGCACCUAAAAGAUGGCGUGAAGAACUGACAAACUCUAGUGCUCCAGGGGCCUUCCACAGAUGGAAAGUUGUCCUCCUUGUUAAGAGAGGUGAUAAACAAAUGGCAUGUAUUAAAAGAGUUCUUGAAGCUGGAAAGGCAACAAUAUGUUCAUCUGAAAAUGCAGAGCACAAUAUAACUCAUGUAUUCGUCGGUGGUAAAAUUUCUCCUUUACAAAAUAAAAAGUGUCUCUCUGAAGCUCGACACUACCCUUUGCAAUAUAUAGGACAUUACCUUUUUCAAAAUGAACUACAAAAUCCCAAAGAUACACAGAUGAACUGUUUUCUGGCUGCACGUGAAAACGACCAAGUCAUGUCUAAAAUGCAACUUUCUGAAAUGAAAAAUGUUAUUAUAAAACAUAUGUAUUUUACUGUGACUAUUAAGCACAGGCUUAUGCAAACGGACCAGCUGAACAAAUGCAAUCCAGAGCACAUACCUGAUAUUUCAUCAUGUGAGUUUCCAGAGUCAGCUGAAGCACAAAUUGUUAAAAGUACUGACUGGUCCAGGGGCACUUGGUCUAUACUUCAAGGAUUGGUGGAAGAGGAUUUACUUCAUGAUGUAGUCACAGAACUUGCUGCAGGCCAAAUGUGCAGUGCACCUCCUGUGGAUCUUCUUCUUCCUCUUCUAGAAUAUGUCCUAUUGGGAAACACCAAUACAAUAUUUUUUGCCAAACUCUGUCAUGUUUUUUACCUUAUUCUUCAUUGUGAACCUCCCUGGAAGUCCCCAUCAAUGCUGAAGUAUUAUUUGGAUCUUCUUCAGUGUCCUAUCUGUAAGAAAGGCACAUGGUCCUUCAUAGAGAUGCUUGUAAGGUCUUGCCUUUAUUGUGAAACAGUUUGUCAUACGGUCACAGUUUCAGGAACAGAAGAUGAACUGAGGAUAGUUCAUAAAACAUUAUUGAAGUUUUUCUUUGAUUUAGUAAAAGGCGAAGUAGAGUUUCUGAAAAAAAGUUUGGUUGAAGGAAUGAAUUCCCAGCAUCAACAAGCCUUGCCACAGACAGUUCUUCUGAAGACAUUCUUGCUUGACAGUGGAACCGCAGUGCUUUUUACCAAACACAUAAAUAUUUUAGCAGAUUGGGUCAUAUUUUCCCAUAGAGAAUUAAAUGGAAAAAAUGAUGCUUUCAGAAGUGAAGUUGCUGGUCUGUUAAAUGCAAUUCUUGGAACUGUAGUGGACUAUUGGAUCAUCUCAGGUUUGCUUAUGGACAGAAAUGUGUUUCAUCAAGUGCCUGAUUUGGCACAUUAUCUUGCCAUUUCAUGUGAUGAUUUUUCUGUAUCUCAGUUAAAAAUGUUUAUUUGUGCCAUACCAUCCGACUGGCUUCAACUGUUUGUUGCAGAAGCAAUUUUCAAACAAAUGUGUUUACAGAGGAAUAUUGCUGUUUCUACAGAACCUCUUUCUCUUCAGAAAAUAGUCUGUUCCUAUUCACCUGCUUUGCGAGAGAUAGGGAUGCGUGAGACAGAGAUACACAAAGCAAAGAAAAAGAAAAUAGGGCAACAGCCAUGCCCUGAGUCUCAAAGGACAUUACAGAUGCUAAAUGGCGAUAAGCAGAACCAAGUCAAAGUGCUGCCUGAUCUACCUGACUUAAUCUUUAAUAAGAUUAGAGCGAAAACAAAAGUCCAGACUGCACACACCAAAGGGAGUUAUCUUUUGGCUGAAGAGGUACACAAGAGAAAUACUAAAGGAGAGACAGCCCUGCAUAAAGCUUGCAGAAAUAACAAAGUGGAGAGAUUGAUUCAGCUUCUCUCUUUGCCGGGAAUAGACAUUAAUGUUAAAGAUUAUGCUGGCUGGACGCCUUUGCAUGAAGCCUGUAACCAUGGUAGCACAGUGUGUGUCCAUGAAAUUCUGGAGCGUUGUCCAGAGGUAGACCUGCUCAGUCAAGUGGAUGGGGUGACUCCUUUGCAUGAUGCACUGUCAAAUGGACAUGUAGAAAUUGGCAAGCUGCUACUUCAGUAUGGGGCAUUUGUGAAAAUUGAUGUGAUGGUCUCCGAAAACAACUAGGUUAGUAAUUAGUUUAAGAAAGUAAUAGAUAUUGUAAUCAUGAUAACUGCUGUUUAGGGAUAAUAGUGGGAGGGAUGCCUUAGUUUCCAAAAAAAGUACAAGUAUGUACUGUACCAAUCUAUUUUAUUUAUCAUGUUUAAAAAAAAAAAAACAACAAAUAUCCACAAAGAAUCAUCUUGGAUAGCAACUACUCCUUCUUUUAAUUAAUUUACUAUAAUGAGUGUUUGCAAUAUCGGUACCAUUGCCCUACUCUGUCAGUGUAAACUGUGCUUUAUGUGCCAAACCCAGAUUUUUUCAGUAAAAAUCAUUCUGUGCUUAGUCAUGAGGCAGAAGGGUGUAUUUAGGCAGCCUAUUAAUUAAGGUAGAGAAACUAAAUUUUAAUAGAUACUUGGCAUAUGACCAUCUGUAUUUACAGUCUUCUCCUGCCCCCUAAAGGCUGUGUCUGUUGUGCAAGCACUAGACCAUAAAAAAUACAUUCCCUCUGCAGUUCUACCUCUGUUUACUGAGUCUCAGUUCUGUAGCUCCCAGGUGUUUUAUAUCUCUACUGUGCCAUGUCACCUUGGCAUGUAACAUGCCAAGCCAACACCUGGGCUCAGUUCAGUCAGCUGAAGUGAUGCAAUAGCAAAUCUUAUAGUGAGCCCAGCUCCCCAGCUGGAAAUGGCACUGCACUAACAGAUGUGCAUUUUUCCUAGGCUGUUGUGAAGAAUAGAUAGUGGGUGAUCUUGUUAUCACAGGGGAAGCGCUCUACUUGCACUUGCAUCCAUCAAGGUUUUCUGGCAAGUGUAAGUCUGUGUGUACCUUUAUCUUUGCCUUUGUCACACUCUGAGUUAUGGCCUGUCAAGUAACUGACAGGCCCAUGGUAGAAAGCAUGUUACCUAUUCAGUGUGAAUUUACUUAGCUCAAUAAUUUAGAACACACAAGUUAAUGAUAAUAAACAAUCAGUAAUAAUAAUAAUAAUAAUAAUAAUAAUAAUAAUAAUAAUAAUAAUAAUAAUAAGGCAGCUUUAAUCUGAGCAAAAUUAAAAUAUCUGUUACUGAUACAAAAUAUGGGAGUUCACCUUUUGUCAUUAAAAUGUAUUUCUGAAGAAGCAUUCAUUUUAUAAUAUGGUAUCAUUACUUUAGCAUAGUAAUACAAAUUUAUGUAAGAUUCCUGAUGUGUUCAUAUUUGAAAAACACUUGUAGUGUCUUAACAGCCUUCAUUUUUUCUUACUGAUGCAGCAUUUCUUAAACUUCCCAAGAGAUGUGUAAGCUCUUUAAAUAUUAAUAGGUCCCUUGUAGUAAUAAACAGGAAAUACUAAAAGGAUUUAUUUGUUCAGAUUAGUUCUGAACAAAUAAGCAUGUCCCAUUUACUUACUUUAAAUCUAUUUAUUAGAGUAAUUAUGUUUUGUGUUUCAGAAAUCUGUUAAGAUCAAAUUUUUAAACUCAGUUGUUGGGGAAGGCUUGGAUUCCUACCCCAACAGCUUACCUUGCUGCACAGCAUAAGGCAAGACUGGCCACACCAUCCAGAAAAAUAAAAUAAAGGCCAUCAUAGUAACAUGCCUUUAAUUUGAAGUCAAUGUCAGCGAAUAACCUAGUCUACAAAGUACUUAAUAGAAUUUUACAAAAGUAAUAACAUUAUAUUUUUGCAUGCUCUAUGCAAGUUAACACAAUACUGUAAAGAAAUUGUUACAAAGGGUCUCUCUACAGGUUCUAUCUUGUGUUGCAAAUAUGUAAGUCGUCAGUUACAUUAACAUAACUUGGUACAAAAAAGGAACUUAAACACCUGGCUUCUGGCGGGCCAGUCCUUCUAGAGCAAAGGAACUCCCACGAGAAACUGCCACUGGAUUAUGUUGAGUCAGUCGCAGCAAAGGAAGAACUUCUGAAUCUUGUUUAUCCAGGAGAGAGCAUUGAAAACUUCUAUGAAUGCAGAGAACGAGA